ACCUGAAACGAUUUCGAAUUGAUUUACUUUCGUUCGUUUAACUGACGUCACCGGCAAAAAUUUGCAAUCCGAUCGCCGUUCAAAAACCAACAAUUGAACAGCGUGUGAGUCAACGUGUCGAAUAUCGACCGGAAAAACACUUAAAUGAGUCAUUGUAGUGGUCGACCCAUUAUCUCCGUGUUAUUCAAUUAGGGUCGUUUCGCUUUUGUUGAGUCAUCCGUUCUUUCAAAAGAUCGAUAAAUAAAUGUGAAAAAGGCGCGAACAGGACUAGGAUUAUAUCAGCCCCUUUGUGGGAUUUCAGUUUUAUCAGAUGGAUAAUAAAGGCGGGAAAACAACAUUUCCUAACGGUUCAGAUACGAAGCUUUGAAACAAAAGAUAUCGUGAUAUCAGUUGUGUGGAAGAGCUACGCCGAUCAUGUGAUCACCGAAGAAAGAAACCAAUGAGAGCAGUUUGCUGGCCGGAGCUUUUUCUUUUUAGUUGGAAAUAUACAUUAUUUUUAGCAACAGACGUCCGAAGCCAAAAAAAGAGAUCGUCAGCCAAGAAAGUAAUGCAGUUCGUGUUGGAAUCGGGAGAGAAAAAAAAUAUACAGGAAAUUCUAGAGAAGAGCCUUUUGCCAAACGACAGUGGAGCCCAGCUGUAAAUAUAGCGAUCCCGGCACAGGGGCCCGGCUUAGUGGCUGUUUAAGUGUGAAAAAUGAAAAAAAAAAAGAAGAUAAUUUUUCACGUAUUU